rnacentral:tRNA from 1 species
UGGCUCAGAGGUUAAAGCAUCUGCCUCCAAUGUGGAAGACCAGGGUUCGAUCCCUG